CCUACGGGGGGCAGCAGUGGGGGAUAUUGGACAAUGGGGGAAACCCUGAUCCAGCGACGCCGCGUGAGUGAAGAAGUAUUUCGGUAUGUAAAGCUCUAUCAGCAGGGAAGAAAGAAAUGACGGUACCUGAGUAAGAAGCCCCGGCUAACUACGUGCCAGCAGCCGCGGUAAUACGUAGGGGGCAAGCGUUAUCCGGAAUUACUGGGUGUAAAGGGAGCGUAGACGGUAAUGCAAGUCUGGAGUGAAAGGCGGGGGCCCAACCCCCGGACUGCUCUGGAAACUGUGUAACUGGAGUGCAGGAGAGGUAGGGGGAAUGCGUGGUGGAGCGGUGAAAUGCGUAGAUAUAAGGAAGAACGCCAGGUGCGAAGGCGGCCUACUGGACUGUAACUGACGUUGAGGCUCGAAAGUGUGGGGAUCAAACAGGAUUAGAUACCCUUGUAGUC
rnacentral:rRNA from 1 species